UGGGGAAUAUUGCACAAUGGGCGAAAGCCUGAUGCAGCGACGCCGCGUGAGUGAAGAAGUAUUUCGGGGUGUAAGUUCUGUCAGUAGGGACGAAUUUUGACUGUACCUACAAAGGAAGCACCGGCUAACUCCGUGCCAGCAGCCGCGGUAAUACGGGGGGUGCAAGCGUUGUCCGGAAUCAUUGGGCGUAAAGCGUUCGUAGGCGGUAUAUCAAGUCUGGUGUUAAAGCCCGGGGCUCAACUCCGGUUCAGCAUCGGAUACUGGUAAACUAGAAUGCGGUAGAGGUAAGGGGAAUUCCUGGUGUAGCGGUGAAAUGCGUAGAUAUCAGGAGGAACAUCGGUGGCGAAGGCGCCUUACUGGGCCGUUAUUGACGCUGAGGAACGAAAGCCGGGGGGGCAAAUG
rnacentral:rRNA from 1 species